ACCCGCUGAAUUUAAGCAUAUAAGUAGGCGGUGAAUGAGAAACUAACCAGGUUUACCUCAGCAAUGGCGAAUGCAGAGGGUUGAGCUCAUUGUGGAAGUCAGGGUGCUCGAUCCCGACUUGUAUUCUUGAGGUGUGCAACCCACAGAGGUGUAGCUCUAGGCUUUUGGGAAGGUGCAUUGAUGAGGGUGACAACCCUGUGUGUCAGCUACAGCCCUCAGCGUGUGGUGCACAAUUCGCGAGUCACAUUCCUUUGGAUUGGUGUGUGAAGGAGGUGGUGCAAUUCAUCUGAAGCUGAAUAUUUGUCUGAGACUGAUAGCGAACAAGUACCAUGAGGGAAAGGUGAAACAGGACUUUGAAAAGAGAGCUAAGCAUGCCUGAACUUGCUGAACAGGACAUGAGGGAAACCAGUAUAACUUGGUAAGCUUGCUGUGCGUGCCCCGUCUUGAAACACGGAUCAAGGAGUCUAAUAUACGUGCGCGCUCAUCGGUUGUAGAACUUGUUAGCACAACAAAGAUAUCGGUUGGGAAAUGUGCACCAACACCCGAUCUUGCAACUGCGGAAGGUUCGAGUAUGAGCAUGUCUAUUAGGACCCGAAAGAUGGUGAACUAUGCCUGUGAAGGGCAAAUUCAGGGGAAACUCUGAUGGAGGCCCGCAGCGAUACUGACGUGCAAAUCGUUCGUCAUACAGGGGCAUAGGGGUGAAAGACUAAUCGAAUCAUCUAGUAGCUGGUUCCC
rnacentral:rRNA from 1 species